AGAAAAAGGGAGGGAUGGAAAGACACUGCAUCGUGAAAGGAGAAGGAUUCACUAACACGCUGCUCACCUUCACAGACAGACAGGAGAAGGGCGGCUGCGCAGCUAGAUCAGUUUGUGUUUGAGGAGACACACAGUCUGAGCUCACGACUAAAUCAUGGAUCAGAAGUCCACUUCACCCCAGAGACAUGCGGUGAAAAACAGGUCGAAGUCUACAGAGGAAGUCCAGCAAGCGAAAAAGGCCUUCCACAUCCCCCAGAAAUCACUGCCUGGAGGGUCAGAGCUGGAAAAGGUGAAGGAGGGACCAGAAGAAAAUGUGACUCCAGCAUCAUCCACAGAAGAGCUAAAGUGAUGCUGCCAUUAAUCUGGUUCUCUCUCACAC
rnacentral:lncRNA from 1 species